GGGAUGGUGUAAGGAGGUCGCGGAUGCGAUCCAGAUUGUUGUGCGUUGUAGUAUGGACCCCGCCACCCUGGAUAAGCAGGUUGACCAUAUUCAUGGCUUGCAGGGGGCUGUUGCUGUGGAGGUGGGUAUGGACUACCAGCUUGAGGGGGUGGGUAUGGACUACCAGCUUGAUGGGGAGGGUAUGGACUACCAGCCUGAGGAGGUGCAUGGUACGGAGGAGGCAUCUGCUGCGUUGAGUAGGGGGGAGGCUGAGAAUAACCUGGCUGCUCAGGUGGUCGGUAGUAGGAUGUUUGAGGACGUGGAUCAGUUUGCUGUUGUGGACCAGAUCUUUGACUUUGACUUCCCGCAGAA
rnacentral:lncRNA from 1 species